rnacentral:rRNA from 1 species
ACGCUCGACACCUACGGGAGACAGCAGUGGGGAAUAUUGGGCAAUGGGCGCAAGCCUGACCCAGCAACGCCGCGUGAAGGAAGAAGGCCCUCGGGUUGUAAACUUCUUUUGUCAGGGACGAAGCAAGUGACGGUACCUGACGAAUAAGCCACGGCUAACUACGUGCCAGCAGCCGCGGUAAUCUGAGGCGGGCUGGCAAGGC